AUUGAACGCUGGCGGCAGGCCUAACACAUGCAAGUCGAACGAGCGGCGGACGGGUGAGUAAUGUUUGGGGAUCUGCCCGAUAGAGGGGGAUAACUACUGGAAACUGUGGCUAAUACCGCAUCCUAUGGGAUGCCCCCAUGUGGGAUUCGCUAGUAGGUGGGGUAAAGGCUCACCUAGGCGACGAUCUCUAGCUGGUCUGAGAGGAUGACCAGCCACACUGGGACUGAGACACGGCCCAGACUCCUACGGGAGGCAGCAGUGGGGAAUAUUGCACAAUGGGCGCAAGCCUGAUGCAGCCAUGCCGCGUGUAUGAAGAAGGCCUUCGGGUUGUAAAGUACUUUCAGCGGGGAGGCGUUACCCGCAGAAGAAGCACCGGCUAACUCCGUGCCAGCAGCCGCGGUAAUAC
rnacentral:rRNA from 1 species